UACGGCAGGCUUACACAUGCAGUCGAGGGCACAUAACACUUCGGUGUUGAUGGCGACCGGCGCACGGGUGCGUAACACGUAUAGAACCUACCAUAACAGGGGGAUACCCAGAGAAAUUUGGAUUAAUACCCCAUAGUGUAUUAAUGAGGCAUCUCAUUUUAUUAAAGAUUUAUCGGUUAUGGAUGGCUAUGCGUCCUAUUAUUUGUUGGUGAGGUAAUGGCUCACAAGGCUACAUAGGUAGGGGUUCUGAGAGGAAUGUCCCCACACUGGUACUGAACACGGACCAGACUCCUACGGGAGGCAGCAGUGAGGAAUAUUGGACAAUGGGCGCAAGCCUGAUCCAGCCAUGCCGCGUGCAGGAAGAAGGCUUUCUAGUUGUAAACUGCUUUUAUUCACGAGGAAUAUGUCCCUUGCGAGGGAUUUUGACGUUAGUGUUUGAAUAAGCACCGGCUAACUCCGUGCCAGCAGCCGCGGUAAUACGGAGGGUGCAAGCGUUAUCCGGAAUCAUUGGGUUUAAAGGGUUCGUAGGCGGACUGGUAAGUCAGAGGUGAAAAGCUGCAGCUUAACUGUAGUCGUGCCUUUGAUACUGUCAGUCUUGA
rnacentral:rRNA from 1 species